CUUGGUAGUCCACGCCGUAAACGAUGCUAACUCGUUUUUGGGUCUUCGGAUUCAGAGACUAAGCGAAAGUGAUAAGUUAGCCACCUGGGGAGUACGAACGCAAGUUUGAAACUCAAAGGAAUUGACGGGGGCCCGCACAAGCGGUGGAUUAUGUGGUUUAAUUCGAUGAUACGCGAGGAACCUUACCAAGGCUUAAAUGGGAAUUGAUCGGUUUAGAAAUAGACCUUCCUUCGGGCAAUUUUCAAGGUGCUGCAUGGUUGUCGUCAGCUCGUGCCGUGAGGUGUUAGGUUAAGUCCUGCAACGAGCGCAACCCCUGUCACUAGUUGCUAACAUUCAGUUGAGGACUCUAGUGAGACUGCCUACGCAAGUAGAGAGGAAGGUGGGGAUGACGUCAAAUCAUCACGGCCCUUACGCCUUGGGCCACACACGUAAUACAAUGGCCGGUACAGAGGGCAGCUACACAGCGAUGUGAUGCAAAUCUCGAAAGCCGGUCUCAGUUCGGAUUGGAGUCUGCAACUCGACUCUAUGAAGCUGGAAUCGCUAGUAAUCGCGCAUCAGCCAUGGCGCGGUGAAUACGUUCCCGGGCCUUGUACACACCGCCCGUCAAGCCAUGGAAUCUGGGGUACCUGAAKCGGUGACCKAACAGGAGC
rnacentral:rRNA from 1 species